CCACGGGGGCAGCAGUGGGGAAUAUUGGACAAUGGGGGAAACCCUGAUCCAGCGACGCCGCGUGAGUGAAGAAGUAUUUCGGUAUGUAAAGCUCUAUCAGCAGGGAAGAAAAUGACGGUACCUGACUAAGAAGCCCCGGCUAACUACGUGCCAGCAGCCGCGGUAAUACGUAGGGGGCAAGCGUUAUCCGGAUUUACUGGGUGUAAAGGGAGCGUAGACGGCAUAGCAAGUCUGAUGUGAAAGAUCGGGGCUCAACCCCGGGCCUGCAUUGGAAACUGUUAAGCUGGAGUACAGGAGAGGUAAGC
rnacentral:rRNA from 1 species